UAGGGAAUCUUCGGCAAUGGGGGGAACCCUGACCGAGCAACGCCGCGUGAGUGAAGAAGGUUUUCGGAUCGUAAAGCUCUGUUGUUAAGGAAGAACGAGUGUGAGAAUGGAAAGUUCAUGCUGUGACGGUACUUAACCAGAAAGGGACGGCUAACUACGUGCCAGCAGCCGCGGUAAUACGUAGGUCCCGAGCGUUGUCCGGAUUUAUUGGGCGUAAAGCGAGCGCAGGCGGUUAGAAAAGUCUGAAGUGAAAGGCAGUGGCUCAACCAUUGUAGGCUUUGGAAACUGGUUAACUUGAGUGCAGAGGGGGAGAGUGGAAUUCCAUGUGUAGCGGUGAAAUGCGUAGAUAUAUGGAGGAACACCGGUGGCGAAAGCGGCUCUCUGGUCUGUAACUGACGCUGAGGAUCGAAGGCGUGGGGAGCGAACAGG
rnacentral:rRNA from 1 species